GCGGCCCCGCCGCUCGCUAUUGGUCAGUUCGAACCAUCACGGCCCGGAGGCCCCGCCCCUCCGGUCGCGGCGGGGAGGGGGGGCGAGGACGCCCCACACGCUCAAGCUGCUGUGAGCCGCGCGGCGGGACGCCGGCAGAUUCGACACCCCGCUCCGCCUCCUCGCGUUUCCGCCGCUCCUCCUCCUCACCGCCCCGCCUCUCCUCCGCCGCGGCAAGCGCAGAUUUCAUUAGCGGCGUUGAUGGCGUUUGCAGCACCACGUUUGCCCGUGCCCAUCAGCAGAUCCAACAAACAUGCACAACUUACAUAAAAUACAAGAAAGUCCAUGGAAGGUUUGGGGUUCCUCACACUUCUAAUCCCCUAGAAAUCCGUAAUUACUCAUUACUAUUAAUAAGAGCUGCUUUUUGCCAUGGCAAAAUAAAACAUAACUCCACUGCCCGUGAACAUGGCAGCUUUGGGAACAGCAACUUGCUUUUGCACUUCAGUGUUUACAGAGACUUACUCCUCAGUUUCACUACAAACAGCACGUUAAAACAUUUUAUUAGAUCUGGGGUUAUCUGAGAAGACUGGUGUGAUACUAGAAAUAUGGUCAGCUUGUACCUAAUCCUAGGAGUAAUUUGAGUUCAUUUAAUGCCUUGCCUGAGCUUAAUUUGUCCCCUUUGGAAUUAGUGCCAUUUUUCUGAUCAAUUCAGAUGUGCCCUGUCCUUCGUGCAAGUCAAUACUCAUGAAAAUCAAGCUGAUCAGGAAAGAAAGAGAGGCAUUCAGAGCAACUGCCUGCCCGCAUAGCCAGCCUCAAAAUGCACUGUGUGAAUUAAUGAGCCAUAAGGAGGAAGGCGUAUUAACAGACAGCCACAUCAAGGAAUUCUUUUCUUUCUCCUCUUAGCUGGAUAUAUUGGAUUAAAAGCCACUAUGAUUGACUUGCAGAUGCAAAAGUUUUGCAUACUUAUGUCCCACUUGUAGGUCAAUCAGACUACAAUAAUCAGGACAGAAAGAUGUUUCAGUGAAAAGGAUCUAAUUUGUUUUGCUGGCAGCACAGAGCAGUUCACAUUGUAUGCUUUAUCCAUCUCCUGUUAUUGACAGCAAUAUUGUUUUUGUGUUGGACUCCUGAACCCAUUUCUUAGGAAAACAACAACUACUACACGAGCAAUGUCAAACUUGUUUUAUUUCAAACUUCUGCAACAGUGCAUUAGUUACUGAUUGAUAUGGAGAAAACCUCCCAGCAGUUUAUUCUCUUUAUAUAAACACGAUAACACUGCAACUUUACAGUAACCAGAACCCUGUCUCUAAAAUACUUGUGCAUAACUGCGAACUGUUUAAAAAAAAAGCUCGAUUUCAUUAUUGCCAACUUGUUUCUGAACUGUAGUCUCCCCUCAUGAUUUCAAAUUCUAUUACAGUAAAAAUUCCUGGCUCUGUUGACCCAUGGAUUGCUGUCAUCAACAUAUUAAAUACAAAGCUAAACUAAUGUUUUUGAGUCUCAUGACUGCAAAUUAGUUACAGAAAUGAGAAACAACAUGUGGAAGGGAAUGAAAUAGGUACAGUUGGUCCAGAGUCUCAUAAAGAGCACAAAGUCAAAGAAGGCACUGCAGAAAGGAAAAAUCAAACGUCAUUUUAAAAACAGGUUGUUCCUAACAGACUAUAAAGAGUACGCUUUUCUGCAUCAUAUUGAAAGAUCAAGUUUUUAUGAAUCAGGUUUAACUUUGUUUAAAAUAUCUCUCCAAAAAUGAGCUUCUCUCAAGCUGACUUUUCAGUUGUUUUAAAAAUGUGUUAUUUCAACCAGCACAAGCUGGGCAGAACCAAUUUCACAGGUAAGCAUUCUUCACAAAUUAACGCAGCAAAAAAAAAAAACAUGUUUAGGUGGGGCUUUUGAAUCAGUUUGUUUUACGAGACUAAAUCAAGGGUUGGUUUGUCGUUUCUUUUUAAGUACCUUAUGUGCCACAGAGCAAACUGAAAAAAAAAAAAA